UUCCGCUUGGACAAGGUACAUGUACCUCGUCCAUCGGAAGGAACGCCUUCCGCUGGACAAGGUACACAUACCUCGUCCAUCGGAAGGAAACCCUUCCGCUGGACAAGGUACACAUACCUCGUCCAUCGGAAGGAAACCCUUCCGCUGGACGAGGUACACAUACCUCGUCCAUCGGAA
rnacentral:miRNA from 1 species